UUUACCGGGUCAGCUGGUAAGUAAAUAAAUAGCUACUUACCUAGAUUAAACAUCAUCAAAAUGGAUAUUAAUUUUUCAUUUGUUGUUUCAGCUCUUUCAAUCAUGACACGUUUCAUAGCUCGCCAAACUUUGGCAUCAGGAUCCGCAAAAUCGGAAGAACUUGCGGAAAUCACCGGCUUGAUCGACACUAAGACACCACUGCAAUCUUGACAACAUUUUUGCAAGCUUUAUCAUACAUUUAAGUAUUCCAAAAGUGCAACGAAGAGAGGAGAACGCGAAGGAAAUUUUAUUUGGUACAAACUCUUCAACAGAUAUUACCAUGUUUUGAAGCGUCGA